rnacentral:rRNA from 1 species
GACGAACGCUGGCGGCGUGCUUAACACAUGCAAGUCGAACGGUAAGGCCCUUCGGGGUGCACGAGUGGCGAACGGGUGAGUAACACGUGGGUGAUCUGCCCUGCACUUCGGGAUAAGCCUGGGAAACUGGGUCUAAUACCGGAUAGGACUCCUGGUUUCAUGGUUGGGGGUGGAAAGCCUUUGCGGUGUGGGAUGGGCCCGCGGCCUAUCAGCUUGUUGGUGGGGUGAUGGCCUACCAAGGCGACGACGGGUAGCCGGCCUGAGAGGGUGACCGGCCACACUGGGACUGAGAUACGGCCCAGACUCCUACGGGAGGCAGCAGUGGGGAAUAUUGCACAAUGGGCGCAAGCCUGAUGCAGCGACGCCGCGUGAGGGAUGACGGCCUUCGGGUUGUAAACCUCUUUCAGCACCGACGAAGCGCAAGUGACGGUAGGUGCAGAAGAAGGACCGGCCAACUACGUGCCAGCCGCCGCAGUAA